rnacentral:rRNA from 1 species
UGAGGAAUAUUGGUCAAUGGGCGAGAGCCUGAACCAGCCAAGUCGCGUGAGGGAAGACGAUCCUACGGAUUGUAAACCUCUUUUGUCGGGGAGUAAUAGGCGGGACGUGUCCUGCUGUGAGAGUACCCGAAGAAAAAGCAUCGGCUAACUCCGUGCCAGCAGCCGCGGUAAUACGAAGGAUGCGAGCGUUAUCCGGAUUUAUUGGGUUUAAAGGGUGCGUAGGCGGACAGUUAAGUCAGCGGUCAAAAACGGGCGGCUCAACCGCCUGCCGCCGUUGAAACUGGCAGUCUAGAGUGGCGAGAAGUACGCGGAAUGCGCGGUGUAGCGGUGAAAUGCAUAGAUAUUGCGCAGAACUCCGAUUGCGAAGGCAGCGUACCGGCGCCCGACUGACGCUGAGGCACGAAAGCGUGGGGAUCGAACAGGAUUAGAUACCCUGGUAGU